rnacentral:lncRNA from 15 species
AUGUUUUGGAUGUUGACGGUUUCCAUCCAUGACCUUUUUGUCCCGUCGAUUUACUUUUGUGGGGUCUUUGCGUCUCCUGUGGCUGAAAAUCACAGCCAUACCACCAUCUCUAUGACCAGGGGCCACAGGAUAUCCCACAUCGCACCUUGGGCAUACCAAAUCUCUAUAACCUACCUCAUUCCUCUUUGGCCUUGGCUUACAGUCAGGUACCCAAAUGAAUCCAGCCGUAUAGUGCACUGCAGUCUAUCUGCAAUCAAUGGCAAUACACUCCAUAACACCCAACUGGAUCAAUGAUACAGCAGUCAGUCAAUAUGCCAGCAGUUAACCCAGCUGAUUAGGGGUAAUACGGGGAAUUUCACAUCUCCAUGAAUAAGACAGCAAGCCUACAUGUUGUAAGACUGCGCAUACCAGAGCACACCACUUCUUCCUGAAAGAUUCAAUCCGCCAACAGGCGAUCUGUGGCAGACAGAUGAUGCCUUUAGUGGGGGAAUCCUGCCGCACAAUUAAAUGUACAGGGCAGACUGGUGUUGAUGGACAGAUAGAGUCUAUCCGUUGGUGAUUGGCUUUUUAAUUGAGUCCCUCCACAUGCACCGAUCUCUAUCAUAAACCCUUGGACCGUGUCAUGAGUGGGGGGUUGAGCCAUCGAAGGAAUCAGUGGCAGUAGCAGCUGUGGGGUAAAACAACUAGGGUUGUUCCUCAUGAUUGUUUUUAAUGUUAAAAUAACAGGAAAGAGGACAAUAAAACGAAUGUAUUUCACCAUCUCAAGCUGAAGUACCUCUUUGACUAUGAGACUGCUGUUUGCUUAAAGUCUAAGGAUGACCAUGAUUGUUUCCUAACCUUAACCUAGUACUUCUUCUAAUUCUAAUCCUGAUGCCAAAGGUCCCCGAACCUUAAUGACAGUAAUUUCUAAUCCAACUGUUGCAAGAUAUUUUUGCGCCAAAGCCUAAACAAACGUUUACCUUAACUUUUAGGUACUGACCAAUAAUAUCAUCAGCAUGGACAAACAACGUAUUUUGGUUUUUUUAUUUGGAGGGCUUGUUUGAAUUAUUGAGCAGACAUACUCCAUAUCACAUACAGUGCAAGAUGAUGGAAAAAUGCUUUAAAACCGUAACAGCCAGAGGCAGAAAUUACGGAACAUUUUGCUGAUUUAAAUUGUUUCGUAGUCACUGACAGUAAUUUAUUACAUUUCCAAGCUAACCAAUCACAUCAUUAUCCGACUGAAUUGUAGUAUAUACGUACGUCAGUAAGUGAAUACAUCACAUGUUCAUUGCGCCGUGAUAUUCACUGCUGAUUAAGACCAUCUUCAGCUCAGUGGAAGGUACAGACUGUUGUUGGUUCAAGCUGUUUAUUUCAGGUCAGUACAAAAUUAGCAAGCAUUCUUUAUAAGGUGAACGGCUCAGCAGACACAGACUUGUGGCUUUCGUGGUCUUUCAAUAUGCUUUUCACAAGGAACUCACAUACUGUGUAGCACCAAUGAGUUGACAACAAUGCUUUCAAUCACCUGUGAGAGGAGCUCCACUGCUAAAAGCUACUGAUUUGUUAAGUGACAACGAUAAUUCAAUAUAGUCUGUUCAGUUUAAAGAUUCAGCCCUGAAUAGCAGCUACACCGUCUAGUGCUGACUAUGACACCUCGACCACAGCACAGACGUGUGGUUCAAUGUUGUAUUCCUCAGCGUUUUAUCAUGAAUGUCGUUACUCCAAGAAUAUCCUGCAGAAGAUAGAUUAUUCAUUAAUAUUUUCAGCUAAUAUCACCCUCUCCUGAUGACAAGCUUCACUGAUUUGGUUGUCAAAUAUUUGUAUGUUUUCUGUUUCAGAGCUCCAAUAUGAUUCUUCUUCCAUUGUGAUUCUCUUCUCUACAUGUGUGGUAAUAUCAGCCUGAUUAUUCAUGCACAGGGAGAAGGCCCCUUUGUAAAUGGAUUUAAGUGAGAGUUUAAAUGGGCACUAAUCUCACUCGCUGAACAUCCGUGAGCUGCAGGGGGUCUCAUCCACACACACAUGACUCAACCCCCCCUCUUUUUCUAUUUCGAUUUUAUGUGUGUGGAUGAGACCCCCNNNNNNNNNNNNNNNNNNNNGGGUGGUAUGGCCGUAAGCGAGAGCUUCACCUGCAAAUGGACCUUUUAAAGACGUUGUUACACCAUGUUCUGUUUGUCUGUGGGAUUAGAGUCCAUUCAAGACGUUUAUUUAUGUACUUACGAUUUGAUGACCAACUUAGUUCUGUAUUAAUUCAUGCAUUUACUGACUUGAACUCUCCCAAAAUCAGGUCCCACGAAAUCAAUUCCUUAACAGGUGUGCAGGAGAAAAAUUCAACAUGUCCUCAUGAAUGAAGUUUAGAUAUUAUCCUGCAGUGGACAAGUGAUAACAACAACAACAACAAUG